rnacentral:rRNA from 1 species
GAGUUUGAUCCUGGCUCAGGAUGAACGCUAGCGGCAGGCUUAACACAUGCAAGUCGAGGGGUAUAGGUUUUCGGAACCUAGAGACCGGUCGCACGGGUGCGUAACGCGUAUGCAAUCUACCUUUUACAGAGGGAUAGCCCAGAGAAAUUUGGAUUAAUACCUCAUAGUAUAAUGAUUCGGCAUCGAGACAUUAUUAAAGUUCCAACGGUAAAAGAUGAGCAUGCGUCCCAUUAGCUAGAUGGUAAGGUAACGGCUUACCAUGGCGACGAUGGGUAGGGGUCCUGAGAGGGGAGAUCCCCCACACUGGUACUGAGACACGGACCAGACUCCUACGGGAGGCAGCAGUGAGGAAUAUUGGUCAAUGGGCGCAAGCCUGAACCAGCCAUGCCGCGUGCAGGAUGACGGUCCUAUGGAUUGUAAACUGCUUUUGUACAGGAAGAAACAGUUCUACGUGUAGAACCUUGA